rnacentral:rRNA from 1 species
UACAGAGGGUGCAAGCGUUAAUCGGAGUUACUGGGCGUAAAGGGCGCGUAGGCGGUUUUGAAAGUAAGAUGUGAAAUCCCUGGGCUUAACCUAGGAACAGCAUUUUAAACUAUGAGACUAGAGGUCAAUAGAGGGUGGUGGAAUUUCCGGUGUAGCGGUGAAAUGCGUAGAGAUCGGAAGGAACAUCAGUGGCGAAGGCGACCACCUGGAUUGAUUCUGACGCUGAGGCGCGAGAGCGUGGGUAGCAAACAGG